AGCGAACGCUGGCGGCGUGCUUAACACAUGCAAGUCGAACGAGAACGGAUUAUAGCUUGCUAUAAUUGUCAGCUAAGUGGCGCACGGGUGAGUAAUGUAUAGGUAAUAUGCCUCUUACUAAGGGAUAACAAUUGGAAACGAUUGCUAAUACCUUAUAUUCCUUUUUAUCAAAAGAUAAAAAGGGAAAGAUUUAUUGGUAAGAGAUUAGCCUGUAUUGUAUCAGUUAGUUGGUGGGGUAAUGGCCUACCAAGACGGUGACGCAUAACUGGUUUGAGAGGAUGAUCAGUCACACUGGAACUGAGACACGGUCCAGACUCCUACGGGAGGCAGCAGUGGGGAAUAUUGCACAAUGGACGAAAGUCUGAUGCAGCAACGCCGCGUGGAGGAUGACACAUUUCGGUGCGUAAACUCCUUUUAUAUAAGAAGAUAAUGACGGUAUUAUAUGAAUAAGCACCGGCUAACUCCGUGCCAGCCGCCGCCGUAA
rnacentral:rRNA from 1 species